AUUGAACGCUGGCGGCAUGCCUUACACAUGCAAGUCGAACGGUAACACGGGGCAACCUGGCGACGAGUGGCGAACGGGUGAGUAAUGUAUCGGAACGUGCCCAGUUGUGGGGGAUAACUGCUCGAAAGAGCAGCUAAUACCGCAUACGACCUGAGGGUGAAAGCGGGGGAUCGCAAGACCUCGCGCAAUUGUAGCGGCCGAUAUCAGAUUAGGUAGUUGGUGGGGUAAAGGCUCACCAAGCCAACGAUCUGUAGCUGGUCUGAGAGGACGACCAGCCACACUGGGACUGAGACACGGCCCAGACUCCUACGGGAGGCAGCAGUGGGGAAUUUUGGACAAUGGACGCAAGUCUGAUCCAGCCAUGCCGCGUGCGGGAAGAAGGCCUUCGGGUUGUAAACCGCUUUUGUCAGGGAAGAAACGCUCCGGGUUAAUACCUCGGGGUAAUGACGGUACCUGAAGAAUAAGCACCGGCUAACUACGUGCCAGCCGCCGCGGUAACAC
rnacentral:rRNA from 1 species